rnacentral:SRP_RNA from 1 species
AUACGGCAACCGGGUCAGGAGGCAGCAGCAGCAGCAGGCGCAGUGGGUGG